GUGCCUAAUACAUGCAAGUCGAGCGCAGGAAGCUGACGGAACUCUUCGGAGGGAAGGCAGUGGAAUGAGCGGCGGACGGGUGAGUAACACGUAAGGAACCUGCCUCAAGGAUUGGGAUAACUCCGAGAAAUCGGAGCUAAUACCGGAUAGUUCAUUGGACCGCAUGGUCCGGUGAUGAAAGGCGCUUCGGCGUCACCUUGAGAUGGCCUUGCGGUGCAUUAGCUAGUUGGUGGGGUAACGGCCCACCAAGGCGACGAUGCAUAGCCGACCUGAGAGGGUGAUCGGCCACACUGGGACUGAGACACGGCCCAGACUCCUACGGGAGGCAGCAGUAGGGAAUCUUCCACAAUGGACGAAAGUCUGAUGGAGCAACGCCGCGUGAGUGAUGAAGGUUUUCGGAUCGUAAAACUCUGUUGUAAGGGAAGAACACGUACGAGAGGAAAUGCUCGUACCUUGACGGUACCUUACGAGAAAGCCACGGCUAACUACGUGCCAGCAGCCGCGGUAAUACGUAGGUGGCAAGCGUUGUCCGGAAUUAUUGGGCGUAAAGCGCGCGCAGGCGGCCUUUUAAGUCUGAUGUGAAAGCCCCCGGCUCAACCGGGGAGGGCCAUUGGAAACUGGAAGGCUUGAGUACAGAAGAGAAGAGUGGAAUUCCACGUGUAGCGGUGAAAUGCGUAGAGAUGUGGAGGAACACCAGUGGCGAAGGCGACUCUUUGGUCUGUAACUGACGCUGAGGCGCGAAAGCGUGGGGAGCAAACAGGAUUAGAUA
rnacentral:rRNA from 2 species